AGAGUUUGAUCCUGGCUCAGGACGAACGCUGGCGGCGCGCCUAACACAUGCAAGUCGAACGAGCGAGAGAGAGCUUGCUUUCUCGAGCGAGUGGCGAACGGGUGAGUAACGCGUGAGGAACCUGCCUCAAAGAGGGGGACAACAGUUGGAAACGACUGCUAAUACCGCAUAAGCCCACAGCUCGGCAUCGAGCAGAGGGAAAAGGAGCAAUCCGCUUUGAGAUGGCCUCGCGUCCGAUUAGCUAGUUGGUGAGGUAACGGCCCACCAAGGCGACGAUCGGUAGCCGGACUGAGAGGUUGAACGGCCACAUUGGGACUGAGACACGGCCCAGACUCCUACGGGAGGCAGCAGUGGGGAAUAUUGCACAAUGGGGGAAACCCUGAUGCAGCGACGCCGCGUGGAGGAAGAAGGUCUUCGGAUUGUAAACUCCUGUUGUUGAGGAAGAUAAUGACGGUACUCAACAAGGAAGUGACGGCUAACUACGUGCCAGCAGCCGCGGUAAAACGUAGGUCACAAGCGUUGUCCGGAAUUACUGGGUGUAAAGGGAGCGCAGGCGGGAAGACAAGUUGGAAGUGAAAUCUAUGGGCUCAACCCAUAAACUGCUUUCAAAACUGUUUUUCUUGAGUAGUGCAGAGGUAGGCGGAAUUCCCGGUGUAGCGGUGGAAUGCGUAGAUAUCGGGAGGAACACCAGUGGCGAAGGCGGCCUACUGGGCACCAACUGACGCUGAGGCUCGAAAGUGUGGGUAGCAAACAGGAUUAGAUACCCUGGUAGUCCACACCGUAAACGAUGAUUACUAGGUGUUGGAGGAUUGACCCCUUCAGUGCCGCAGUUAACACAAUAAGUAAUCCACCUGGGGAGUACGACCGCAAGGUUGAAACUCAAAGGAAUUGACGGGGGCCCGCACAAGCAGUGGAGUAUGUGGUUUAAUUCGACGCAACGCGAAGAACCUUACCAAGUCUUGACAUCCCUUGACAGGCAUAGAAAUAUGUUUUCUCUUCGGAGCAAGGAGACAGGUGGUGCAUGGUUGUCGUCAGCUCGUGUCGUGAGAUGUUGGGUUAAGUC
rnacentral:rRNA from 1 species